CUUGAGACCGGCGCACGGGUGCGUAACGCGUAUGCAAUCUACCCUUUACUGGGGAAUAGCCCGGAGAAAUUCGGGUUAAUCCCCCAUAGUACUAUUUAACUGCAUGGUUGAAUAGUUAAAGCAUUGCGGUAUAAGAUGGGCAUGCGUCCUAUUAGCUAGAUGGUGAGGUAACGGCUUACCAUGGCUACGAUAGGUAGGGGGCCUGAGAGGGUGACCCCCCACACUGGUACUGAGACACGGACCAGACUCC
rnacentral:rRNA from 1 species